GGCAUUUGGCAUGACGGUAACGCCGACGAAAUCUUCGCAUAGCCUUCUUCCUGGUCCAUUGCCUUUCCAGAUCUUGCAGCUUAUCCUCCAGAAGCUGCCUUGUAUCCUGAAGCUAGGAACUUGGGCAUCAUCUGACGAGGCGGUAAAUCUUGACAUACCAUAUACUUACUUUGUACAAGUAUGCAUUUCCUCGGCGCCCUGAACAUGAUAAACUCUUUUCUUUCGCACUACAUGCCUGAUGCAUAUUGCCUCUACUUCUUUCUUGAUGGAGUACAACGGAUGUUCCCUGAUGCAAUGCAACAAACAUGGAGAGCAAUCAAUCAUGAGCCGGUGAGCAGUCGAUUUCUGCAUCAGCAAACACUACCUCCAAAACCGACGACCUGCAAAAAUGCGAUUGUUUCGAACCAAGAACCCAUCCACCAAGCUGUCCGGCACCUCGAGCGGCUGCGCCUGCGGGUUAAUUUCUCUCAUGGAAGCAUCCCGCCAGCCUCUUUCGUUUUCCUCAUAAGCCACCGUAUUCCAGCACGCGGCUCAGCUAACAGAGCUCCUCACCUUACCCAUGGCCUGGCCGAUGCUCGGUACUCCCUGGGCAGCUGGGCUGGUCCUCUUUCCCUAGAAUCUGCAGACGACUGGAGAACCUGAGCGGGGCCGCGAGUGGCUUGGGGCAUUUGCGCUUCCGGCCCGGAUUGGAAGUUGGAGGCGGCCGGAGGACCCGACGACGGAGAGGGAGAGACGAACCAGGGGCCACGGUGCUAAUUUCUUAUCCAAACCAGGGGUAUUUUGUAAAUAAUCGGAUCGCGAUCAAUUGUCGCGAUCCAAAUGAGGGGGUUAUAUGUAAAUAUUAGGGGUACUUUUGCAAAUAUUCGGAUCGCGAUUAAUAGUCGCGAUCCAAUUUAGGGGAUUAAAUGAAAAUAGUUAGGGGUGCUUUUGAAAAUAUUCCGCCGGGUGGCAUCGGCCGCCCCGGCGAGGUCGCGCGGCCGCCGCCGCCCUCCUCCGGCCCCGCCGACAAGCUUCGUUAUCUCCUCCGUCAAAUUGACGCGUCCAUCACUCCCUCAGGCCUUGCGCACGGGCUGCCCCAGCCUCUAGCUUCUCCACUGCGCCCGCCGCCUUGGGCUGCCGGCUGCCGCGGUCCGGUAGGAGGUGGAGUCGUGGAGAUGCCCUCAGCUGCCAUGUCCCUCCAAUCGGUCACCCCCCGGCGUGUGGUCACCUCCGUUCAUCGUCGCACUGCAACAAUCGGCCGCGCAUUCCACCAGUGUUCAUCACUUUCAGCAUCAAGUUUGUUUGGCCUGGAAGCUGGAAGGCGUGAACUACGUAGAACACAUCAAAGGUUUGUAUGGCCUCUGGCAGAUCCGGUCCAAAAUGACAACAAAGGCC